rnacentral:rRNA from 1 species
GACGAACGCUGGCGGCGUGCUUAACACAUGCAAGUCGAGCGGAAAGGCGCUGCUUUUGUGGGGUGCUCGAGUGGCGAACGGGUGAGUAACACGUGAGUAACCUGCCCUUGACUUUGGGAUAACUUCAGGAAACUGGGGCUAAUACCGGAUAGGAGCUCCUGCUGCAUGGUGGGGGUUGGAAAGUUUCGGCGGUUGGGGAUGGACUCGCGGCUUAUCAGCUUGUUGGUGGGGUAGUGGCUUACCAAGGCUUUGACGGGUAGCCGGCCUGAGAGGGUGACCGGCCACAUUGGGACUGAGAUACGGCCCAGACUCCUACGGGAGGCAGCAGUGGGGAAUAUUGCACAAUGGGCGGAAGCCUGAUGCAGCAACGCCGCGUGCGGGAUGACGGCCUUCGGGUUGUAAACCGCUUUCGCCUGUGACGAAGCGUGAGUGACGGUAAUGGGUAAAGAAGCACCGGCUAACUACGUG